AGAGUUGGAUCCUGGCUCAGGACGAACGCUGGCGGCGUGCUUAACACAUGCAAGUCGAGCGGUAAGGCCUUUCGGGGUACACGAGCGGCGAACGGGUGAGUAACACGUGGGUGAUCUGCCCUGCACUUCGGGAUAAGCCUGGGAAACUGGGUCUAAUACCGGAUAUGACCUCCUAUCGCAUGGUGGGUGGUGGAAAGAUUUAUCGGUGCAGGAUGGGCCCGCGGCCUAUCAGCUUGUUGGUGGGGUAAUGGCCUACCAAGGCGACGACGGGUAGCCGACCUGAGAGGGUGACCGGCCACACUGGGACUGAGACACGGCCCAGACUCCUACGCGAGGCAGCAGUGGGGAAUAUUGCACAAUGGGCGAAAGCCUGAUGCAGCGACGCCGCGUGAGGGAUGACGGCCUUCGGGUUGUAAACCUCUUUCAGCAGGGACGAAGCGCAAGUGACGGUACCUGCAGAAGAAGCACCGGCUAACUACGUGCCAGCAGCCGCGGUAAUACGUAGGGUGCAAGCGUUGUCCGGAAUUACUGGGCGUAAAGAGUUCGUAGCGGUUGUCGCGUCCUUUGUGAAAACC
rnacentral:rRNA from 1 species